UGAGGAAUAUUGGUCAAUGGGCGAGAGCCUGAACCAGCCAAGUCGCGUGAAGGAAGACAGUCCUAAGGAUUGUAAACUUCUUUUAUACGGGAAUAACGGGCGAUACGAGUAUUGCAUUGAAUGUACCGUAAGAAUAAGCAUCGGCUAACUCCGUGCCAGCAGCCGCGGUAAUACGGAGGAUGCGAGCGUUAUCCGGAUUUAUUGGGUUUAAAGGGUGCGUAGGUUGUUCGGUAAGUCAGCGGUGAAACCUGAGCGCUCAACGUUCAGCCUGCCGUUGAAACUGCCGGGCUUGAGUUCAGUGGCGGCAGGCGGAAUUCGUGGUGUAGCGGUGAAAUGCAUAGAUAUCACGAGAAACUCCGAUUGCGAAGGCAGCUUGCCAUACUGCGACUGACACUGAAGCACGAAGGCGUGGGUAUCAAACAGG
rnacentral:rRNA from 1 species